CAGCCAGGACUCAAACCAGCAACCCUCUUGCUGUGAGGCAACAGUGCUAACCACUGAGCCACCAUGCCGCCCUGUAGUAUAGUUUUUAAAGCAAAUAUUUCUGACUGACAUCCACAUGCAUGAUCUUUUUUGAUGCUAAAAGUGUUGAUGACUGCUAAUGAUAUUGUCAUUUAUUUAUAACCAUUCAGUGCAUUGUAUUUAAAGUUCAGGCUACGUAUUAUCACAACAACACACAUGUACCACAGAGGAAGUGCCUUUAAUUUAAACAGUACAUAUCAGCAAACAGGGCAAAACCUGACUGAUCCUGUUCACUGUGAAUCUACUUAAACUAAGGUUUAUUUGGAGGAGACGAGAAUUAUGCAUUCUCAAGAGGACUAUUAUGGAAAAUGGUAUCGAUACUUCUUGUUCUGCGUUUGGAUUUUGGACAUUGUGUUGAUAUUUACCAUGUAUCACCUGAAAACACUGGUAAAUGAACUAGUUCAAAAAUAUUCCUUGGACAAAUGUCAAGAAAAAGAAGAAGACGAUGACGAUUAUGUCAACAGUGGUGCAAUCGGCUACACAUGCAACUUAGUUGUUUGAACCAGUAACUACUUAAUGUCAAUUUGCUCUCAUACAAAUACAGCAGUUCAAAGAGAGAGACUUUAACUGGAGUAUACUUCACUGAAUGUGUUUUUUCCACUCCAUUUAACUCUGUCAUGUUUUGUUGCCAUCAGCAAUAUAGCAAUAAUAGUGUCAUAUUAGGUGAUUCUGAUAAAUAAAAUGUUUGGUUUAGGUUAAUAUAAAGAAAUGAAAAUGUACCAGAAUAGUAUUAAUCACCUUUUUUUUCUUCUUGUCACAUAUAAUCUGAUAAGGGGUUUUUAUUAGGACUCAUUUAUAAGUACCAUCUUAAUCGACUAGUUAUAUUAUAAACAACAAAGUUUGGUUAAAAAGAAGAACAAGAUGUUCAUGCUUAAAACAAUGUGUGAUACGCAAGGCGUAAAAUUUGUUAGCACCAAGUGUGGCCAAUUUCUUUCAAAUUCUCACGAAGGCUGCUGACUUGUUUCCUGGAUGCCUAAUUAGGUAGUGACUUCAGAGGCAUGAUUACUGCAGGGCACCUCAUAAAAAGACAGUAUAGCCAUUUGAUGACUUACAACAUAACUUUUAUGAUCACCAGUGAUCUAACAGUUACAGAUCGCUGGAAAACUACACAUCUGCCUCUUUAACUACGACUCCCAGAAGUCAUUGCUCCAAUCACUCCUGCCAAAGCCGACAGUCAUCCGAACUCUGGCACACUUACACAGCUGAAUGAUUACUUGGACUAUAUAUACACCACACAUUCACACAAACUUUGCUGAGUCUUGUUUUUGUUUUUGACA